rnacentral:tRNA from 1 species
AGCGAGGUGGGGAAGCCAGUCCCUCAUGGGGGCCAGGUACAUCCCGGCGGGCUCAUAACCCGCAGAGCGGAGGUUCAAAUCCUCCCCUCGCUA